rnacentral:rRNA from 1 species
GACGAACGCUGGCGGCGUGCCUAAUACAUGCAAGUCGAACGCAGGGGGGACGGGUGAGUAACACGUGGGUAACCUCCCAUCAGAGGGGAUAACACUUGGAAACAGGGGCUAAACCGAUACUGAUGGAUGGACGCUCGGUGCAUUAGGUAGUGGGUGAGGUAACGGCGCACCAAGGCCACGAUGCAUAGCCGACCUUAGAGGGUGAUCGGCCACUCUGGGACUGAGACACGGCCCAGACUCCUACGGGAGGCAGCAGUAGGGCAUCUUCUGCAAUGGACGAAACUCUUACCGAGCAACGCCGCGUGAGUGAAGAAGGUUUUCGGAUCUUAAAACUCUGUUGUUAGAGAAGCGGUAUCUAAUCAGAAAGCCACGGCUAACUACGUGCCAGCAGCCGCGGUAAUAC